AUUGAACGCUGGCGGCAGGCCUAACACAUGCAAGUCGAGCGGAUGAACGGUGAUUGCUCCUAGAUUCAGCGGCCGACGGGCGGGUAGUGCCUAGGAAUAUGCCUGGUAGUGGGGGCUAACGUCCGGACACGGGCGCUAAUACCGCAUAAGUCCUGAGGGCGUACGUGGGGAAUCAUCGGACCUCCCGCUCUCACGUGAGCCUAUGUCGGAUUAGCUAGUUGGUGGGGUAAAGGCCUACCAAGGCGACGAUCCGUAGCUGGUCUGAGAGGAUGAUCAGCCACACUGGAACUGAGACACGGUCCAGACUCCUACGGGAGGCAGCAGUGGGGAAUAUUGGACAAUGGGCGAAAGCCUGAUCCAGCCAUGCCGCGUGUGUGAAGAAGGUCUUCGGAUUGUAAAGCACUUUUGUUGGGAAGGAAGAGCAGUAAGUUAAUACCCUGCUGUUUUGACGUUACCAACAGAAUAAGCACCGGCUAACUUCGUG
rnacentral:rRNA from 1 species